CUGUCUGGGUCGCUACAAUAUUUAAUCAUUUCUGCCCACCGAAUUCAUAUUCGUUAUACACUAUAAAAAAUGACCCACGGGCUUAGUAAAUAUUGCAAAAGAAAAUCAAUGAUUUUUACUAAAAGUAAUAGGUUUCUGGUUUUACUUACAUUGUUGAAUAUAGUCCUUAGUUGAUGUGUUGAAAACACUGGCAUUUGCAAAUAAAAAUCCAAGAUCUAGUUAUGAACGUCAGUUGUGCUUGGAACAUUUCAACAGACGUCGUCUUGAUCUUUCUCCUCUGGAAAGGCCUUGUGGCAGGUGUUCAGACGUUCCUGAGUACUGGACAGACCAUAUUUUCCAGAAUACAUUGACAAGGAAAACGAGAUGCAUCUCAGAUCUACCUGUCUGUUUCUCUCUUCUUCACCUGUCUCACUGCCCUCCACGCUGGUUUUCCGAUGACAGACAGACAGCUACCUAGCCUAAACCCCGCCUCCCCUCUGAAUCGGUAUCUCCCUGGAAUGUUCCAGAAUGCCUGAACUUAGCAUGCCUGCUGCUGUUUGUGUUAUCUUUAUCAAUCAAUAUGACUAUAUGAUUUAAGUUAUGAUAUUGAUCAUUUUGGCUGAUGGACUGAGAGGAAUAAGCUAUUGACUGACUCCAUGCUUGAUGACUUUACAAUCACAGAGAGCUGUUGACUGACUCCAUGCUUGAUGACUUUACAAUCACAGAGAGCUGUUGACUUCAGAUACUGGAUGACUUUCAAACACAACCACCAAAGUUGUGCUUCUUUGGAAAACCGUUCUAAAACCAAACCUGCUGGUUGAAAUAUGACAUUGCAGGAUGGUGAUGAAUCAACUGGAGGCUGGCUGGCUGCUGAAGGAUGGAUGAACACAAUGGACUCAACUUCCACAUUGUUCUGUUCAUAACUCAUCAGUCUUUGGUCUACGCACCACAAACACAUCAAGUAUCUACUAUUAAAUGUGAGCUGGGUUUUCACUGUUGGAAAUGGAUGGACUGUUUCAGGAAAAACCUUCAAGUCACAUCAUAUAUGCAAUCUAAGACUUACUAAACCAGUUGACUUAGUUGGCUUGCUGCAACACAAGAAUCAUUACUGACCACCUACUUCUGUGUUGGACUACUAGGUGAAACCGCCAUUCUGUUAGAAGGAACAACUUACAAUGUGAUGGACUACUAGGUGAAACAGCCAUUCUGUUAGAAGGAACAACUUACAAUGUGAUGGACUACUAGGUAAAACAGCCAUUCUGUUAGAAGGAACAACAUUACAAUGUGAUGGACUACUAGGUAAAACAGCCUCUCAAAACUCCAAAGAUUGUAUUUUCUUCAACACUUAGUUUUUAUUUCUGUAAUGCUUCAGGGAAAUGUAAAGACAAGGUCCUGGACAGUAACAGGAUUAUUGUCUUUCUGUCUGAGACUCUGUCAUCAUAGAGAUCUAGUAGUUUAUUUAGAUCAGGGUUGGGCUCAAUUCCUUUACAUUUCAGGAAGUAAACUGAAAGUCCAAUUCCUUUACAUUUCAGGAAGUAAACUGAAAGUCUAAUUCCAAUUUUCCUCAAUGCCACUCUGAGAUAAUGUCAGUUUACUUCCUGAAUUGACUGUAUUGACAUUGAACUGACCCCAACACUGAUCUAGAGAUAAGAGACUGUAGUCCUCGAGGGGGAGAAGAGGUGAGGGGAGGCAGGGAGCAGCGUUGCUCUUGGGGGGGUAGUGGUGAGGGGAGGGGAGGCAGAGGACAUCCCAGUCUGGAGUAGCAGAGAUGAGGGGAGACAGAGGACAGCCCAGUCUGGUGUAUCAGAGAUGAGGGGAGACGGAGGACAGCCCAGUCUGAUCACUGGAGGUUCUCUUGCUACAGAGAUGGUCUAUAGAAGCCUUUUAGUAGCUGACAUUCCUAACCUCAACUGAGAGGGUCUCUGUCCCUCUGAUGGCCCUGUUGGUGUCUCUCUGUGUGUGUCCUGUCCUGUUUGCUGUCUGGGACAAAGGGAGGUUGUUGUGGAUAUUGAGGGGGGUGGAGUUAGUAGUCUUUUGGCAGCAUGACCCUGCGACCCCCCAUGAAAUAACACAAGGUGAUCUUCCUUCUGAAAGGAAUGUUGUCCAGGGCCUCCACUGCCACCCUCAUGUUGCCCCUGACGCUGCUCUCCUCCUGGUCGUACAUGGGACACAUGUAGGCUGUUCGCCUCAGGGCGUAGAUGUCCACCUCGUCCUCGUCGUCCCACGGCUGGUAGGGCUGCUGGGAGGGAACGGCUGACUUGACCAGACGGGGUCUCAUCAUGGCCAGCUCUAAGUCACGGGGGAUAUGCCUCAGACCCAGGCUAGACCUCUGGACUCUGGCUCCUUUAAAUUUACAUUACAUUAUGUUACAUUCAUUUAUUAGUAAUUCAUUUAUGAAUGUUUAAAACAUGACAAUCAUAUUCCUGGUUGUACAUCAGCAAACAACAUAUACAAUAUUGACAAUAUAUUCAAUAGAGAAAAUGUGUCAUUGCACAAAGAGAAGUGCUGACCUUUCUUUCUCUUCUUCUUGGUCUUAUCAUCCCAGGCGUUGGCACUGACAAGGGACACGUUGCCCUGGCCCAGGGAGGGCAGCAGUUUGGGCCGGGGGGCCACCGGGGGUUUGGGGACCUUCUUUGGAGGAGGAGCAUCCCUCUGGGCUCUCCUGGCCAGCAGGGGUCCUGUCUGGACGAAGGCCUCAGGCCUGAUGAUGUCCCUGGGUGGGCUGCUCCUCCCUCUGGCAGCCUCCUCUGGCUGGGCAGCUUUCGGCAUGGAGAGAACAAACACAUUGUUGCUGAAGCUGCAUGACUCUGAAAGGGCCGGCUCCUCCAGGGUCAGAGGGCAGGUAGGACGGAGCUCAGGCUGGACUAUGUCCACAGUGCUGGUGGUGAUGCUCACAGGACUGGUAGGUUGGGACUCAAGCAUAACGGAACACACAGGAUUACUGGGCUUAACUUUUCUCCUAGUGGUGUUCCGAGGGUUGCUAGGCCUUCCCUCAGGUCUGGAAGGCUGAACAUCAUGCUGGACCAGGCCCACGGGUCUAACAGGCCGUCUAGUGGGGCCCAGAGGGUUGCUAGGCCUCCCCUCAGGUCUGGAAGGCUGUACAUCAGGCUGGACCAGGCCCACUGGUCUAACAGGCCGUCUAGUGGUUCGCCGAGGGUUGCUAGGCCUCCCCUCAGGUCUGGAAGGCUGUACAUCAGGUUGGACCAGGCCUACGGGGCUAACAGGCCUUCUAGUGGGGCGCCGAGGGUUGCUAGGCCUCCCCUCAGGUCUAGUGAUGCUGACAGGGAUUCUAGGUGUCAUCUCAUUCUGGUACAGGCUCUCUGGGCUGUUGGGCCGGGAAUCAGGCAGAAGCUUGUAGUUCUUCAGAACCUCAGUGAAGGAAAGCUCCUUGUUGCGCCUGCGUCUGUUGGUUUUGGCAGGUAGCUGGGAGCUGCUGCUGUUAAACCAACCGGGAGACUCACGACAUCCAUCCUGGACAGGAACCAGGGUCUGGAGGUCUCUCCUCUUUCUGUGGGCAGCUGUGGGCCUCUUGGGCCUGAUUUCGUCAGGAGGGGGAGCACGAGGUACAACAUGCAGGGAGGGGAAUGCUGAGGGCCUGAAAGAGGAGGCCAUCACUGGGGCCUGGCUGACCUCUUCUCUCUCCAGCAGCACUCUGUUAGAAGGACAGAGCAGCGGAACACCGAUGGACCUUGGUCCUCCAGACCCAUUCAGGUUGGGCCUCCUAUUCAUCAUUCACUGGUCUGCAGUAUUCUAAUCAGAAUGCUCCUUCUAGUCUUGAAUACUUGGAAUAGGAAGUGGCUUUCAGCACCAUUAAACUCUAUAAAAAGAGCCACAGAAACAUCUUUGUUUAGUAUUUGGGGAAAUUUUUUAAAAUGUUUUACUGUCUCAUCUAAUUUCAUCACAUUCAGUUCUGAGUUUAAAUAAUUAUUUGGGACAAGAUAUAUUCAUUAAAAUGUAACAAGUUUGUUCAAUUCAUUUCUAAUAGCCUAGAUAUAACUAGUGGUCAAUAAAACUAUCCCCUCAUUUAUCUGAUAAACAGACAGACAGGUGUACUUACCGUUCACCUUGCAGUUCAAUCAGCUAAUGAUCCGUCAUUUCACCAGUGGCAGCUUGGUGUUUGAUCAUUACGUCAUCAGAGGCAUUUUGUAUUGUGACGCAACAAUGCCAAGCAUCAACCUUCCUGUCAUGGCUGCCCCUGUAGUUUAAUAUGUCAACGAAGUGUAUUAAUCAAUCAGACAAUCAAACCAUCAAUGAAUGACUGAAUUAAUGAAGCAAUUUCUAAUAAAUCAGCUUAAGUGUACUGACAUGAUUAAUGGAGGAGACGAACAAUUACGAAAACGCAUCAAUCAAUCAAUGAUGCGUAAAAGUAGAUUCGCUCCCACAUAGUAAAGUUCGACAACGAACCACUUUAGUGAGUCAAUAAACUAUCCAAGACUUUGGACGAGGUAUAUUUGUCCCAAUACUGUAGGACAGGCCGUUCUGCCGUUUUAUAUAAACUAAUCUUCUGCAUACGGGUUUUACUCUUUCCUGUGUUCAUCUCCCUCGACUAUAUAUAUCUAUUCUGUGGCCACCACACGUUUUAUAUGUCAUGUUUGUCUUGUAGCUGACAGUGGGGUGAAGACAGGAGCGCAGUUCAACUGACACGAAGGCGCGGACUGGGGAAAUCCGACAUGGAGACCUGACGCCACUUUUACGCGCACUUUCGGAUUGGUCUACUUUGAAAUGAACAUAAAUAUUAUCGUAACAUACUGGAGGUUGGGCUCAGUGUUCAAGUGUUGGUUUUACACAUGUUGAUAUAGAGAAAUAUAGUCUAAUAGUGGAUCGUCCUUCUGCAGUGUUGGUGGGGUAAAUAAACUGAUGUGCUUUGGCCUGUAUUCUUUUUGUAUGUUAUUCUUUUUAAAUAUUUCGGAAUUCCUGAUCUCGUUUAUUAAACAAUUACUUAUUCAAUAAUUAUUUGGUUUAUUUAGCUUAUCUUGUGUACAUGUUAUACCCAAUGGCCUGAACAUAGAAAUAAGAAUGAAUAGAA